GCCAGCCCGCUCAGAAACUCAAAGGAAUUGACGGGGGCCCGGCACAAGCGGAGGAGCAUGUGGUUUAAUUCGAUGAUACGCGAGGAACCUUACCUGGGCUUAAAUGGGGAGUGACAGCUGUCGAAAGAUGGGUUUUCUUCGGACACUCUUCAAGGUGCUGCAUGGUUGUCGUCAGCUCGUGCCGUGAGGUGUCGGGUUAAGUCCCAUAACGAGCGCAACCCUUACCGUUAGUUACCAUCAGGUUAAGCUGGGGACUCUAGCGGGACUGCCACCGUAAGGUGAGAGGAAGGUGGGGAUGACGUCAAAUCAGCACGGCCCUUAUGUCCAGGGCUACACACGUGUUACAAUGGCCGGUACAAAGGGCAGCUACCUGGUGACAGGAUGCUAAUCUCAAAAGCCGGUCUCAGUUCGGAUCGGAGUCUGCAACCCGACUCCGUGAAGCUGGAAUCGCUAGUAAUCGUGAAUCAGAAUGUCACGGUGAAUACGUUCCCGGGCCUU
rnacentral:rRNA from 1 species